AUUGAACGCUGGCGGCAGGCCUAACACAUGCAAGUCGAGCGAGCGGCGGACGGGUGAGUAAUGUAUGGGGAUCUGCCCGAUGGAGGGGGAUAACUACUGGAAACGGUAGCUAAUACCGCAUACCAUCGGAUGAACCCAUAUGGGAUUAGCUAGUAGGUGGGGUAACGGCUCACCUAGGCGACGAUCCCUAGCUGGUCUGAGAGGAGGAUCAGCCACACUGGGACUGCGACACGGCCCAGACUCCUACGGGAGGCAGCAGUGGGGAAUAUUGCACAAUGGGCGCAAGCCGGAUGCAGCCAUGCCGCGGGUAUGAAGAAGGCCUUAGGGUUGUAAAGUACUUUCAGCGGGGAGGCGUUACCCGCAGAAGAAGCACCGGCUAACUCCGUGCCAGCAGCCGCGGUAAUUC
rnacentral:rRNA from 1 species